UCAUAUCAAAUUACUUGGAAUAACAACAUGAGCGGAAGCGUACCUGAAUCCAUAAGUGAAAAUCUUUAGUCCUUCUUGAAGAUUGUCCAAGGUGUGCCUUUGAGAAGCUCCUUGAUCCUUCCUUUAAGAUUGUCUUGAAGUUUUUUGUUUUCACAAGAAUAUAUCCAAGACCAAAAAUUGAGGAUUGGUUUUCCACUUGAUAUGCAAGACCAAAAUGCUCUCUAGUUUCGAUGGGAGGAAGAAGAGAAUGUCUUGCAUUCUUAUGGGAACCACCCCCUCUUAUAACAUAUGAGUUAUGAAACUCAAAAGUCAUAAGCAUGUAAUCAUGGUUACAUAUAUGUAACCUUAGUUAGCCCAUCAUUAACUAA
rnacentral:lncRNA from 1 species